CUGUCCUGCAGAGAAACGCUGAAGCUUCUGAAGGACCCUUCCUUCUGAGCUGAGAGGUCAUGAAAACCAAACACUCUCUUUCCUUUCUCAUUUAAAUGCAGCCCCUUUUGAGUCUGUUUACACCAUCACCCAAAUCUGAUGCUGGAGUAAUCAGAUUCUGCAAAAACCCGGUGUGACUCAUUCAGAGAGCUGACAUUCCUGACACUCUCAUUUCUGUCAGUUUCUGCUCAAAAAAAUUCUCAAGGCAGAAACUUUGGUUGUUUUUUUUUAAACCUAUGUUACCUUUUCAGAAAUGUCAUUCCGAUCUUGUGGACAAAGGCAAAAGAGAUGAUGCAUUUCUGCUGGAAUAGAAGGAGGAGGGAAAGAUCUCCAAGAAAACACCCUGCUGGUUCAAUCCGUGUUUGGAGCUUCUGUGCCUCGGUGAGACAUUUGGAGCAAACUUGUUUUGCCAAGGCUUCAUGCUGGAGAGACGAUGGGUCUUCAGGUGAACUCAUGAAUAACACAGAAAAGAAAUGUCCCAAGAAGACGGGCAUCAACGCUGAUCAUCACUGUGAUUCUGAAAGGUAAUCUGUUCAUGUUUUUCUUUGUGCUUUCAGUUUCUUGCCCUCAGAUGUCUGCAAAAAUGAUUCCAUCUUGAAGCAGUUUGUGGAAAUUUUCAAAUCUGAGGUAAAAAGAGUACAGGAAAGCCCCCCCGAGAUGCAGAGAGCAAGGUGUGAUUUGCACCUGAAGUUUUUGUUUUUUAGAACAAAAGAGAAAGUAGAUGUUUACAGGAAGUGUCUUUGUGUGCAUUUUGAAUGUGAAUGUCUGGGCAGGGCAAGCCCAAAGAAAUGGGAAAAAUGAACAUUUUUUGAGAAAUAGUCAACAAAUUAGAAAGAAAAUAGCCAAACUCUUCAGCGAUUCAUUUAGUUGCACACUCUUGUUUGAGGGAAACUCAUCCUGACAUGUUUAACGCCAUGAUCAACAUCUCCAGAAGCAGAGAAGCAAAGAAGACCUGGAUGAAGGUCAGCAGAUGCAGGUCCAGGAGGUGAAAUGCUCCCAACAAAGGACUUAUCUGGACAAACAGUAGUGACACUGUAACACACAAACACACAUUGUCCUUCAGAUGUUACCGAUGAUAACCCACAGGCUGUGUUGACACUCCUGAUAAUGACACAUUCUUCCACCCGCCCGGGGGUCGCCCUCCCCGGCCAGCGCGACUCAAAGCGAAUAUCUGAGCGUACUCCAGCUUCACAGAUAAUGAUCAGUCUAAAUGUUAUGAGUUCAGAGGAGAGAGGUCCCACCUGAGGCCUGAAAAACGGCUUUAUCACAUCACCAUCUUCAGAUCUGCAGCUGAACUGCUGCAUGGGAUUCACCAGAUGGCCGUUUCCUGUCUGUGUUGGUGGAAGGAGCCCGCGCUCGCCCCCCAAACCGGCCUGCAGAGACUGGGGGGAGGCCUCUGCAGAAUAUGAAAUGUUUUUUGGGGGGAAACGGAGCUCAGAGCAAACAGCACCUGCCACAUCCUGAUCAAUACUCCUUUCCUGUGUGAGCAAAGUGUUAUUGAUACGUUGCUGAUGGCCGUGCGCCUGCUGCAUCCUGCCAUAAACAAGUCCUAAGAGCAGCUCGGCUGGAUCAUCGGUCAGAGGAGCGGGUGCUGUCCAACGUGUUCUUUCCUUUGCAUCGUUGUUUACACAAAAAUGAAAUAAUCCCUGCAGAUUCAGGCCAGUGGGAGGUUAAGGCGGCUCAUAUCAGCAGAGGGAUCUGCAGCCUUUGCAGCCCCUUCCAAAAAGUUCAGAAUUCAAUUGUUGAGUGAAAAUAAACCCAAAGGCAAUGGAGGACAAAGGGGUGCUGGACCACAGCGAGCGCCACCGGGAUUCUGCUGAAAGGGUGGAGGAGGACACUGCACCACAGAGCCCAGGCUGGACUGAAAGCAGGUUUUGGCUGGAAGGCUCUCCUGCCUUUCUGUCGGGGGGCCCACAGCUAAACAAUCAGCGUACCUGCGUGUGUUCCAGGUGAGGUGGAAAGUUGGCUCCUGAUGGAAAUUGCUUCACACACGAGGACCCAUCCCAAUCGACAGAGUGUGACUACCCCAUGUGACUCAUAACGCGGGAGCCGAAAAACAAAGUUUCAUGUUCUACACCACCGCUUCCUGAGGAGCGCGGGGAGAAGAAAAUAUAUUUGUUUUGCGUGGGCUCCAGGCGGUUGGGGGAGACGGUGUCAUCUGUCAGACAGGGAGGCACCAGGGGGGGCGGCAGAGCAUCCCUCUGGCUGACUCUGAUGUGUGUUCCUGCUCCUCGGCUUUGUUCUGGUCUGGUGCCGGACGCUCCUUCUCUCCAGACCACUGCUCAACGUCGCACAACACGGAUGCUCAAGUGUGUAAAUCCGGCUCGUCAUUUGACCAUCAGUGUGUUUAAAUAAUAAAUGAAGCCGUUCCUUUUCUUUUCUUCUGAA